rnacentral:rRNA from 1 species
GUGGGGAAUUUUGGACAAUGGGGGCAACCCUGAUCCAGCCAUGCCGCGUGCGGGAAGAAGGCCUUCGGGUUGUAAACCGCUUUUGUCAGGGAAGAAAUCCUUUGGGUUAAUACCUCGGAGGGAUGACGGUACCUGAAGAAUAAGCACCGGCUAACUACGUGCCAGCAGCCGCGGUAAUACGUAGGGUGCGAGCGUUAAUCGGAAUUACUGGGCGUAAAGCGUGCGCAGGCGGUUAUAUAAGACAGAUGUGAAAUCCCCGGGCUCAACCUGGGAACUGCAUUUGUGACUGUAUAGCUAGAGUACGGUAGAGGGGGAUGGAAUUCCGCGUGUAGCAGUGAAAUGCGUAGAUAUGCGGAGGAACACCGAUGGCGAAGGCAAUCCCCUGGACCUGUACUGACGCUCAUGCACGAAAGCGUGGGGAGCAAACAGGAUUAGAUACCCGAGUAGUCC